rnacentral:tRNA from 1 species
GCCGACGUGGCGCAAGUGGAAGCGCAUCCGACUUGUAAUCGGACGGUUAUCGGUUCAAGUCCGAUCGUCGGCU